rnacentral:rRNA from 1 species
UACCAGCACCCCGAGUGGUCGGGACGAUUAUUGGGCCUAAAGCAUCCGUAGCCGGUUCUACAAGUCUUCCGUUAAAUCCACCUGCUUAACAGAUGGGCUGCGGAGGAUACUAUAGAGCUAGGAGGCGGGAGAGGCAAGCGGUACUUAGUGGGUAGGGGUAAAAUCCGUUGAUCCACUGAAGACCACCAGUGGCGAAGGCGGCUUGCCAGAACGCACUCGACGGUGAGGGAUGAAAGCUGGGGGAGCAAACCGG